AGAUCCGGGCCAAGUCAGAGUACUCCAAACUGUCUGCGACCUGGAGACAAUUACAGCGAUGGCCCUCCUCAACAAUCGGGCCAGCAGUUGAGUGUCAAAAUGCUGUCCCUUUUGGUCGCCCUGGAAACAAACCUGUUGGAACAGGAAAGCGCAUCCUUGACCGGAAAAAAGUUGAAGGAAUCCUAACGUACGUCCUGAGAUGCGGUACCCUUCCUGAUUGGGACAAUAUUGAGGAGGCCAAGCUCAAGAAAGCUUUGGUAAACAAAUGUCGGGCCAGAGCAGGUUUUAAGUAGGCCCUUGUAACUGCCAAGUUCAUUCUGGGGUAGGAUGUUUCCUUUGUAAACAUGUUAAUAUUUUGGUCUGGGGUUGCACAGUAUAUAUUGUAUAAAAUUGCCAUAUGAUGUAGCUUUUAGUACCACGUUAUAUUGUGACAAUGCAUAUUGAGCUGUGCUGUGUCUCGCAAAUUUGGCACCGAUGCAACCUCACUAACAAGCUAGCGGCUAAUAUCCCUUCACAGUGCAAAGCUGUUUCCAAAUAAAAAAAUAAUACAACUGGAAAUGACGCAGUAUGUUACUGCUUACAUAAUCAGGUAUAUUAGUAGCUUUUGUAACCAAUUUCAAAAUGGUUCAAUGAUCAUUUAUGUACCAAAUGUUAUAUUGUUAUCGCAGGAGGCUGUUCUAUUGUUUACAACAGUGUUUCUUAAUCACAGGGCUGGGGCCCACUGUUUGGCUGCGAGUACCCCUUGGGGGCCGCCAACAAAUAUCUGUUUCUUAUGGGAUGCAAUGGUACUCAGUUUUAACACACUUUAG